rnacentral:lncRNA from 1 species
ACAGAAUAAAAAAAGCCAGUACUAAGUUUGAUGUCUAAAUAAACAGAUGCCAUCCACCCAUAUUUCCCCUCUUUUGUACAGUUUUGUUGGUUUAUGAAAACAGGUUUACGGCUUAAACGACCAACAACACAAAAAUCAUUGAGUGUGGAUUCCAAACUUAAACGACCAACAACACAAAAAUCCUUGAAAGCUCAUAGAGUUUGUGAAAUAUAUUAGCCGAACACUUCUUCUCCAAUUCAAAUUGUUCAUACAAAUCAAAUUUACCGGUAUUGUAUACUAUAAAUCAGUUUCAGAAGCAUACAAACUCACUCACAUCACAUUUAAUUCCUCCUCCAAAUGACCUCAUGCAAUCACUUCCUGACGCACAACAUUUUUAAAAAGCUAACAUCAUUAUCACAGAUAUCAAUUCCAAAUGCAAACCUAAUGAACUACCAAUUUACAUUUUCUUAGAA